CCGGAUACCAUCAACCAAAUGAUGACGACGAUGAUUUAUGUGAAUUGUAGAUCAAUAUGGUAUUGGUAUAUUUUGGGGCAUCAAUAUGUUUUUUUUUUUAAAUAAACAUUAACUAGAAAGGUUUUUGAUAUUUAACUCACGUACUUUUUUGUAUGGAACAAAUUUUGUAUGAAUGAUUCAAUUUAAUUGUGGUUGGAUGUUUUAAAUUAUACAUAUGAAGUAUAUUUUGAUG